rnacentral:rRNA from 1 species
AAUGAACGCUGGCGGCAUGCCUUACACAUGCAAGUCGAACGGCAGCAUGACCUAGCUUGCUAGGUUGAUGGCGAGUGGCGAACGGGUGAGUAAUGCAUCGGAACGUGCCUUUUAGUGGGGGAUAACGUAGCGAAAGUUACGCUAAUACCGCAUAUUCUCUGAGGAGGAAAGCAGGGGACCUUCGGGCCUUGCGCUAGAAGAGCGGCCGAUGUCGGAUUAGUUAGUUGGUGAGGUAAAGGCUCACCAAGGCAACGAUCCGUAGCGGGUCUGAGAGGAUGAUCCGCCACACUGGGACUGAGACACGGCCCCGACUCCUACGGGAGGCAGCAGUGGGGAAUUUUGGACGAUGGGCGCAAGCCUGAUCCAGCCAUGCCGCGUGAGUGAAGAAGGCCUUCGGGUUGUAAAGCUCUUUCGGCUGGGAAGAAAUCGCACCCUCUAAUACAGGGUGUGGAUGACGGUACCAGCAUAAGAAGCACCGGCUAACUACGUG